rnacentral:lncRNA from 1 species
UCUCUGACUAGAGACAAAGAAAACUGGAUUUGGUGCCAGAUCUGAGUUCAAGCCAUACCUUCAUAGCUGUGUAUCUUAUAUCCCUCCUUCUUUGGAAUUCCAUCUUCUUUCCUUUAAGGUACAAAAUGAAUGUCCCUGAAUGUCAGGAUUACUCCCCAUGGGCAGUAAAGCAACAGAGAGAAAUUAAUGGAGAAUUCACUCUAUGUUUUCUGAACACACACAAACUUCAUAGUAACUGCUUAACUAAUGUUUUGGGAUCCUUGAAUCCCAAAAUUUCAAAGCCUUGAAGCCUCAUGGUCCCCAUUUUACAGAUGAUCCUCACUUUGUGAUGGUAAGUAAUGUUUGCUUCCAUGUGAAUUAAUGGAAACACACAAGGGCUUUGCUUUCCAGCUGGGUUCUGGAUGCAGAACCUCAGCCAGCAAGCUGAUUUCAUUGGUGGAGAAUGUGUGGUUGGGUGGAUCUGGAGGUCCAGAUCCUUAUACCCCCAGACACUGUCUGACAUCUAGCAGUGACCCCAACCAAGGAGGAGAAGACCCCUAAAAUUCUUUUUUUCUAAAAUUCUGCAUCGUGAGGAGUAGAGGAAAGAACUGGGCAUGGUCCCAAAUGUUCAGUUAGGUGAGGGAGAACAUCACUUAGGUAAUUAUAAAAUGAUGAAGUAGGGUUAUAAUAGAGAGAGCCCAGGGAGUGGGGUUCCAGAAGGAGGUGGGGUGGUUAGAUGUUCACAUAAACUCUCCUGGGAAAAGAUGAUGACCCCUGAGCUGAGUCUGAAAAGAUAAGAAGGGAGUUCCUAUCAGUUAAGGAUUUGGUGUUGUCACUGCUGUGGCUCAAGGUACUACUGUGGCAUGGUUCUCCUAGGCAGGGAACUUCUGCAUUUCACAGAUGGGGCCAAAAAUAAGGAAAAACAGAGAAAAAGGAUGUGCUAUGAAUAUGGAGAUGAGGCAAAGCUGAUGAAAUCCUUUGAGAUGUCCUGAGGCCCUUUAAACUGGAACCUCGUCUCUGCUUGGAGCAACCAGCAGUACAUUUGGUGUACAAAGAAAACCAUGUAAUAUUCUGUGCUUUUUAUUCAAACUAUAUAUUUUUCUACAAAUUAGGUUUUUAUCUCAAUAUGUUUAUGACAUUUCUCCAUAUUGAUACAUAGACAUCGAAUCCACAAUUAACUCCCAUAAGCCUACAGACAAACAUUUAGGUUUGGCUAGUGUUUGGCCAUUACAAAGAGUCCAAGACUCUAGGCAUCCUUAUGCAUCUCUCUAGUUGUGUACAUGUGGGAGAGUUUUCAAAACACCAAGAAGUGGAGUUACUAGAUACUAUGGACUGAAUAUGUCACCACCCCUCAAAAUUCAUAUGUUGAAGCCCUAAACCCCGAUGUGAUAGUAUCUGGAAGUGGGGUCUUUGGGAGGUAAUGAGGUUUAGAUAUGGUCAGAAGGGUGGGGUCCUCAUGAUGGAAUUAGUGCCCUUAGGAGAAGAGUCCAUCUCUGUCUUUCAAGAUCAUAUGAGAUAAAGUCAGAAGGCAGCCAUUAGCAAGUCCAAAAUUGGACCCUCACCAGAAUCCAACCAUGCUGGCACCCUGACCUUGGAUUUCCCAGCAUCCAGAACUGCAAGAAAUAAAUGUCUGUUGCUUAAGUCACCCAGUCUGUGGUACUUUCUGACAGAAGCCCAAGCAGCCUAAGACAAGAUAUGCACGGUUGUGGGUAGUUCAUUACCAGACUGUCCUCCAAAUGUCUCAGGUUAUAUUCUACCAUCACAACCUCACUAGCAUGGAUAUAAUCAAUUUUUGGUCUAUUUUUAGGGCUGCACCCAUAGCAUAAGGAAGUUCCCAUGCUAGGGGUCAAAUCAGAAAAACAGUGGUCACUCCACUGUUUUUCUGCAAAAUGGUAUCCAAGCUAUGUCUGUGCCUUACACCACAGCUCAAGGCAAGACCAGAUCCUUAACCCAGUGAGGGAUGCCAGGAAUCAAACAUGAGUCCUCAUGGAUACUAGUUGGGUUUGUAACCUCUAAGCCAAUGGGAUCUCCAUAUAAUCAAAUUUUUUAUCCAAACUGUGCUCUGGAGGAAGCUCUUCAUCAUCCUCACCAGCCACUGGUAAGGUCCCAAACAUUUAAACUAGUCUGUUUGUUUGUCCACAAUCAGAUCAUAUGGAAGUUUCCAGGCCGGGGAUCCAAUCUGUGCCACAGCAGUGACCUAAGCCAAAGCAGUGACAACACCAGGUUCUUAACCCUCUGAGCCACCAAGGAACUCCUAAACUCCUCUUAAAGGAAGGAGAAAGAGCAUUUACUCACCUCCAGGUGCUGCACAUUGCUUUUCUCCUACAGAGAUGUUAUGUCUCCCACUUGACAACAAGAAAAGAGCCUGUGGAAGGUUAGGUGACCUGCCCCAAGUUACACACCAGAAAGUGGUGGAACCCAGUCUUAAAACCAAGUCUGCAUGCUACUAACAUUCACAUUCUUUUCAGUUUCAUAUACUCAACUAAUAUUUAUGAGCACUGAUUACAUACCAGACCCUGGAGGGCACAAAAAUGAAUCACAGGGCCAUACGUAGCACAGACAAGGACUCAAUAAAUGUUUGCUGAAUGAAUAUUGAACCAAAGAGCUCAAAGCCCACAGGACAGACAGUCACAUAAGUAAUAUGUGCAAUAGAAUAAAGAAACACUGUGAUAGACAUAGGCUCCAUGCAGCCAGCACAAAGAAGGGAGAAGUUUACUUUCCUCCCAGUCAUUUGAAGGAAGGUUUACAUCCAAGGUAGCUUUUUUGUCACACUCAAAAAGAGGAAAUGGGUUCCAGGCAAAAGGAACAAUGAAAAGGCACAGGAGGGUGAAGCAAUGUCACAUUUUCUGGAAACUAGUUGGUUGCCAUAAAGUUGCUUCCUUCCGGGAUCAAGGUAAGACAUCCAGCUAAAUUCAGUUCAAUUAACUGACCCUUCAUUAAAAACCUGCUGUGUGCCAGGCUUUGUGCGAGAUGCUCUACAUACAUUAUCUCAUUGAAUCCUUGCAGCUUUUUUUUCUCAUUAAACACAUGAGAAAAUUGAGGCUUGGAAAGAAGAGUCCAGUCCUGGAAUAUUUUCAAAUCUGUUCUUUCCCCUCCUGGCUGUCUCCCCCAGAUGCCAGCCACUGCUGCACUAUUCCAUCCCAGUUCUUACUCCAAUGAGAAGAUGGCCUCCCAGCCAACCUAAAGACCCAUGGCUAUUUACCUUUUAUAUCAGGAGACUCUGCCCAUUUCAUUGUCUCUUUUCCUCCUUGAGAAAAUGGAGAGGAGAAGGCACUUAGAAUCAUGAGGUUUGGGAGUUCCCCUUGUGGCUCAGCAGGUUAAGGACCCAACAUAGUCUCUGUAAGGAUGAAGGUUGGAUCCCUGGCUUCACUCUUUGCAUUAAGGGUCUGGUAUUGCCACAGCUGCAGUAUAGGUCACAGAUAUGGCUUGGAUCUGGUGUCGCCAUGGCUGUGGCAUAGGCCUCAGCUGCAGCUCAGAUUCACUCUCUAGCCAGGCAAACUCCAUAUACCACAGGUGCACUGCAAAAAAAAGAAAGAAAGUAAAGAAAAAAAGAAUCAUGAAGUUUUCAAUCCUUGGCUAGACACUACUACCCUAUUCAUCAUUCAUUCAUUUAACAAGUCAAGCAGACUUCAUAGAUGUGGGUUUAGUUCCAGACAAAUGUGAUAUAGCAAGAAAGUUACACCGAUAUUUUGGCUUCCCAGUGCAUAUAAAAGUUACUUUUAUGCUAUACUGUUGUCUAUUAAGUAUGCAAGUGUAUCAUGCAUAAAGAAGGCAAUGUACAUAACUUUAAUAUACUUCAUUGCUAGAGUUCCCAUUGUGGCACUGUGGAAAGGAAUCUGACUAGGAACUAAAUUUAAACACAGGUCAGGAUAUUCCCAUUGUGGCUCAGCAGGUUACAAAACUGACUAGUAUCCAUGAGGAUGCAAAUUUGAUUCCUGGCCUCACUCAGUGAGUUAAGGAUCUAGCAUUGCCAUGAGCUGUGGUGUAGGCUGCAGAUACAGCUCAGAUCUGAUGUGGCUGUGGCUGUGGCUGUGACUGUGGCUGUGACAUAGGCUGGCAAUUGUAGCUCCAGUUCAACCUGUCACCUGGGACCUUCCAUAUGCUGUGCAAGCAGCCUUAAAUAGCAAAAUAAAUAAAUAAAUAAAUAAAUAAAUAAAUAAAUAAAUAAAUAAAAUACUUCAUUGCUAAAAAAAAAUACUAACCAUCAUCUAAGCCUUCAGGAAACCCACUGAUGGUGGUAGAGAUCACUGAUCACAAAUCACCAAGAACAAAAUUAAUAAUGAAAUAGUGUGAGAAUUACCAAAAUGUGAAACGAAGACCCAAAGUAAGCAAAUGCUGUGGGAAAAAUGGGGCCACACCAGUGGGGACCUAUACAGCACAGCGAACUCUACCCAGUAGUUUGUGAUAAUCUACCUGGGAAAAGAAUCUGAAAAGGAGUGGAUGUGUGUAUAACUGAAUCACUUUUUUGUGUAGUAGAAAUCAAUAACAAAUUUUUAAAUUAAUUAAAUAUAAAAAAGAAAAAUGGUGCCACAAACUUUUAAUUUGUAAAAAGAAUAGCUCUGUCUGUAAAGCAUGAUAAAGUAAAAUUCAAUAAAGCAAAAUGCAAUAAAACAAUUGAGCCCUAUGUCCCAGGCUAUGUUCUCAGUACUGUGGAUACGAAAUUGAUUAAAACAGGCAAGAUUUCCUCCCCCAUGAAGGUUAAAUGGGAGUGACUUCUAAGUGAUAGAAACAAAGGUUUUGAGAGGUGAUAUGGCUUGUCCAAUGUCACACAGAAAUUUUGUUACCGGGUAGAACUAACACCCAAGUCCUGAUACCAGUACAAAGCACUUUAUCCCCAAUGAUGGUCAUGACCUUUCCUUAACUCCCUCUGCUUGAUCUCUCCUCAGUUUCUGUUUGGCAGGAUGAGGCAAGAGAACUUCACCUGGACCAGGGGUGCUCAUGCCAAAUUCAUCCUUCUGGGCAUCACAGAUUGCUGGGAACUGUGCAUCACCCUCUUCUUGGUCUUCCUGCACACAUACCUGUUCAGCCUACUGGGAAACAUGGGCAUGAUACUACCUACUGAUCUGCAUGGACACCCAGCUCCACACAUCCAUGUACUUCU